rnacentral:rRNA from 1 species
AUGCACGCUGGCGGCGUGCCUAAUACAUGCAAGUCGAGCGAACAGACGAGGAGCUUGCUCCUCUGACGUUAGCGGCGGACGGGUGAGUAACACGUGGAUAACCUACCUAUAAGACUGGGAUAACUUCGGGAAACCGGAGCUAAUACCGGAUAAUAUAUUGAACCGCAUGGUUCAAUGGUGAAAGACGGUUUUGCUGUCACUUAUAGAUGGAUCCGCGCCGCAUUAGCUAGUUGGUAAGGUAACGGCUUACCAAGGCAACGAUGCGUAGCCGACCUGAGAGGGUGAUCGGCCACACUGGAACUGAGACACGGUCCAGACUCCUACGGGAGGCAGCAGUAGGGAAUCUUCCGCAAUGGGCGAAAGCCUGACGGAGCAACGCCGCGUGAGUGAUGAAGGUCUUCGGAUCGUAAAACUCUGUUAUUAGGGAAGAACAAAUGUGUAAGUAACUAUGCACGUCUUGACGGUACCUAAUCAGAAAGCCACGGCUAACUACGUG